ensembl:lncRNA
AGUAAACCUGACCAUCACUUCCUCCUGUAAAUGGUAGCUUCUUUCUCGCCCAGUAGUAAAGACUGCUGCCGUGUCUUGCUCACUGUCUGCCCCACAUGGUAUGGUGUUGCUCCAGGACACUUUGCGUAAGAUUCCCCCUUUACAGAUUUAAUAAGCAUAUCCCCUGGAGAAGGAAAUAACUAUUCCAGUAUUCUUGCCUGGAAAAUCCCAUGGACAGAGGAGCCUGGUGAGCAGUAUCUCAUGGGGUUGCAAAGAGUCACACACAGCUGAGCAACUGAGCACAGUAAGCACAUAGUUAAAAUUAUUUUAGCCACUGCUCUAAUUAAAAUCUGUUUCCUCUCUGAUUCAGAUAUAAGUCAUAUUCAAACUCUGCCUCCUUGAUUGCCUUUAUUGUCUUCCCUACUUGAAAUGACAUUGCAUUUUCAUUCAUCAGUUUAUCUUUUUAAGAAUUUCAUCACAUUAUGCUUCUGCUCUGGCCCUGGUUUGAUUUUAGUUUGUCAGUUUGCAUACAGCUUCCAUUGUGCACCACCUGUAACUUUGAGCAAGUUACUUGAGUUUCUAUCCUUCAAUUUUUUAUCUAUAAAACAGAAAUGAGCAAAGUAUAUACUCAUAAUAUUAUUGUAAGGAUUACAUGAGCUAAUACAUAAAGCAUUUAUACAUAGCAAGCUUCAAGCCUUUAUUACCCUUAGUACAGGCUUUCAUUGUUCUUUUCACCAAAGUCUACACUUUUUUACACUGCCCUUUCCUUCUGAUGAAUACUUGCUGGAUUUCUAUGUGGUGGCAUACAAUCUGUUACUUAAUCAUGAAUUCAUUUAUUUUAGUGAGUCUUGUUUCAUCAAGGCAAUUGCAACCCCCUCGAAGAUAAUCCAUCUGUUAGCUGGUUGGCAUUAUACAGUGUUUGGCCACACAACAUCCUUGAUUAUUUAAAAUAGUACCCUACAAAUAACAGAAGCAGUAGUUAUUAUCAUAACAAAAAUAGCUAGCAUUCAUUAAAUUCUUAUCCUUGCAACUGUAGAACUUUUACAUUCAUUGUCUUUUAAAAUCCAUAUAAUAUUCUGAAAUAGAUCCUAUUUUCACAUUAUCUUACAAUGAAGGAACUGAAAAAUGGAAGGGUGGAGUGACUUUCUCAAGAUUAGGUAACAACCAAAGCCCUUAUGUGAAAGGCCGAGAUCAUCAGGGAAUCUCUGCUCUGCUUGUCAGAGAGCCAGACUUUUUUUUCUUUGUUGCUCUCAACUCUCCUAUAGUAUUUUCAUAUUGUGCAUGACAAAGGCCGAGACACUGCCUUGGCACAUCUACCGACAGGAAAAAGGAAAGAGAAGUGGCAGAAGCAUUCUACACCUAAAAGCCAAGAUCCAAAGGGACACAUGACGCAGCCACUCGUAGUCUGUGGACUACAAGAUGGGGAAUCCUUUCAUGAUGGUUGCAAGAAAAAGUUCAGUGGUAAUCGUGGUGAGAUUGUUACUUCUGGGUGGAUCCACGUGCAUUGUCAUAAGGAUACUCAAUCAGGCCUAUGGAGAGAGCCACAUAGUACAGAACCGCUGCUUCCUGCCAGUAGCCAAUAGAGAAAUGAAGCUUCUCACUAACAGCUACAUGAGUGAACCAUUCUACAAGUGGAUGAUCCAGCCUCAGUCAAACCUACAGAUGACGGUGACCUAAGGGCAUCUUAGCUGCAAUUUCGCAAGAGAUCUCUAGCUCAGAACCAGUUCACUAAGCCACUCACACAUUUUUUAACCAUAUUAACUAUGAGAUCAUAAAUGUUAACUGUUUUAAACUGCUAAACUCAUGGGCAACUUUUCAUGUAGUAAUAAACAAUGUCAUCUUCAAGAAGGCAUUCCUUCCACUGAUUUCUACCAUUCUCUAAUUACUUAUUCUGAAUUUUGAUAAAUAAAUUAGCUGACCGAAUGCUUGUCCAGAAUUUUUUUUCAGAAUUAUUUUCUACAUUCUGUGUAUAAAGAAACUCUCUAGCAGGAGAUUUAGCUUGCAUAUACAUAAGGUAAUAGGACAUUUGCUUGUCCUGCCUCAAACACAUCUGUACUGCUGAUGAACUGGAGAGAAUUCAAGAUGUUGUCAUAGACUUAUAGCAUCAGAAUAACCUUAAAGGGCAAACUAAUCCAGCCUACCAGUUAACUAACCAAUGCAUAAACUAGAACAUCCAUUUCAUCACUCAUCAACUGUAUUUGAACUCACAGUAUCCAAAGAACAGGUUUCUGUCUGCAGACAGCUAUAAAUUUUAGAAAAUCUUCUUUUAUAUUAAGUGUUUGACCCUUUCAAUUGAGCUUAUGUUUUGAGGGUAGCCAUACAGAACAAGUCUAGUCUCUUAAAAAAAAAAAAAAAACAACUCUUCCUUUUAAAACUCAAAAAUGCAAACCUAUCUUAACACUAAUAUUAAUCAGUUCAUUUUCUUAUUUAUUUAUUCACUUACUCAACAAAAUCUUAUUGGAUCUCUACCAAAUAUGUCACUAUGAUAGAAAUUGUUUACAACUCAACAAUGCAUUCAAACACAUUAUAUUCAAGAAAGGAAGGUAACAUAUGGAAUUCAAAUCAUUGGAUUAAUUGUGAUCAUUGUAAUAAGGUAAUACGCACACAUAC